CCUACGGGUGACAGCAGUGGGGGAUAUUGCACAAUGGGGGAAACCCUGAUGCAGCGACGCCGCGUGUGGGAAGACGGUCUUCUGGAUUGUAAACCACUGUCCCCAGGGACGAAAAUGACGGUACCUGGGGAGGAAGCUCCGGCUAACUACGUGCCAGCAGCCGCGGUAAUACGUAGGGAGCAAGCGUUGUCCGGAAUUACUGGGUGAAAAGGGAGUGUAGGCGGGGAUGCAAGUUGGGUGUCAAAACUACCGGCUCAACCGAUAGUCGCACUCAAAACUGCAACUCUUGAGUGAAGUAGAGGCAGGCGGAAUUCCUAGUGUAGCGGUGAAAUGCGUAGAUAUUAGGAGGAACACCAGUGGCGAAGGCGGCCUGCUGGGCUUUUACUGACGCUGAGGCUCGAAAGUGUGGGGAGCAAACAGGAUUAGAUACCCGGGUAGUC
rnacentral:rRNA from 1 species